GUCAACUACCCCCGCCUGAAGGCGGGAGCUUGGAGACAAGCUCGGUUGACCAGCCUAAGCCCGCCUGACCGGGAUGUCGAAAGGGGCUACGUUGCGCAUAGGUUCAAGACUCACCCUGGAAUGCUUCCUCAGUUCCAGGCUCUGAAAGUCCCGGUUGCAGACACGCAUUGGGUACGCACGAAACGGAUCGGGAUGGAAUGCCGGUGCGCAACAUUGGCGAGGGGAGCAAGCC
rfam:Candidatus Contendobacter odensis Run_B_J11, WGS project CBTK01000000 data, contig: COMPJ11_2695_Contig_284